GUACACGCUGUGACUAGCAUAUCAAUAAGCGGAGGAAAAGAAACUAACAAGGAUUCCCCUAGUAACGGCGAGUGAAGCGGGAAGAGCUCAAAUUUGAAAUCUUAAAGGGUUUCCCUUUACGAAUUGUAGUUUAAAGAAGUGUUUUCUGUUGAGGUUUUGGUAAAAGUUCUUUGGAAUAGGACAUCAUAGAGGGUGAGAAUCCCGUAUUUGACCUUUACUUUCACCUUUGUGAUACACUUUCAAAGAGUCGGAUUGUUUGGGAAUGACAGUCCAAAAUGGGUGGUAAAUUUCAUCUAAAGCUAAAUAUUGGCGAGAGACCGAUAGCGAACAAGUACCGUGAGGGAAAGAUGAAAAGAACUUUGAAAAGAGAGUUAAACAGUACGUGAAAUUGUCAAAAGGGAAGCGUUUGACACCAGUGUUGUUUUUCUGAAAAUCAAUUAAAGAACUGUUUAUGCUAAGCUGUUUAGACUUUAUCAGCUAUCUGUUUAGUUUUGAGCUUUUCUUUAAUGCACUUUUCAGUUAACAAGUCAACAUCAAUUUCUUUUGCUGUAAAAAAGCUUGAGGAAGGUGGCUUGAGAUUCGUCUUAAGUGUUUAUAGCCUCUUGCCUAUGCAGUCGGAGAGAUUGAGGUCUGCAGCGUAGAUCCUUCGGGGCUAAAUGCAUUUGUGCUAAGUUAUAGCAUUUUAUAGACAACUUGUUGACUAUGAUUUGUCUUGUAGCUUACUCGCUUAUGUUAUUUUACCUACGCUUAGGAUGUUGAAGAUGUAGCACAUCAU
rnacentral:rRNA from 1 species